rnacentral:rRNA from 1 species
UCAAGAAACUUCCACAAUGGGCGAAAGCCUGAUGGAGCGACGUCGCGUGAUGGACGAAGUGCUUCGGCACGUAAACAUCUUUUAUGUGGGAUGAAAUUAUUGACAGUACCACAUGAAUAAGGGGCUCCUAACUCUGUGCCAGCAGGAGCGGUAAUACAGAGGCCCCAAGCGUUAUCCGGAAUCACUGGGCGUAAAGGGUGUCGAGGCGGUUGUAUUAGUCGUUCGUAAAAUCUACGAGCUUAACUUGUAGGCGGCGAACGAAACGGUACGACUUGAGGUUUGGAGAGGUGCGUGGAACUCACGGUGUAGGGGUGAAAUCCGUUGAUAUCGUGGGGAACACCAAAGGCGAAGGCAACGCACUGGCCAAAAUCUGACGCUCACACACGAAAGCUAGGGUAGCGAAGAGGAUUAGAUACCCGCGUAGUCCCUGAGCGGGCUGGCAAGGCGCAU